rnacentral:tRNA from 1 species
GCUUUUGAAGCUUAAAGGCAGAGCGCCAGGCUGUUACACUUGGAAGCUGUAGGUUCGAAUCCUGCCAAAAGCU